rnacentral:rRNA from 1 species
CAGGACGAACGCUGGCGGCGUGCCUAAUACAUGCAAGUCGAACGGUCUUUCUAUGGAAGCUUGCUUCCACUGAGAAGAUAGUGGCGAACGGGUGAGUAACACGUGGGUAACCUGCCCAUAAGAGGGGGGAUAACAUCCGGAAACGGGUGCUAAUACCGCAUAGUUUUCUUGAUCGCAUGAUUGAGAAAGGAAAGACGGCCUUUGUGCUGUCGCUUAUGGAUGGACCCGCGGCGUAUUAGUUAGUUGGUGAGGUAACGGCUCACCAAGACGAUGAUACGUAGCCGACCUGAGAGGGUGAUCGGCCACAUUGGGACUGAGACACGGCCCAAACUCCUACGGGAGGCAGCAGUAGGGAAUCUUCCGCAAUGGGCGAAAGUCUGACGGAGCAACGCCGCGUGAGUGAAAGAAGGUUUUCGGAUCGUAAAACUCUGUUGUCAGAGAAGAACAGGUUGGAGAGUAACUGCUCCAGCCUUGACGGUAUCUGACCAGAAAGCCACGGCUAACUACGUGCCAGCCGCCGC